CACGAAAACCAUGUGUAGGUUUUUCAUUUUCAUGAAAUAGAAAGCUGCUUCAAUUAUCGUUUUUAACCAUAUGGGUGUCAUUGUACAUGGAUUGACAGCUUGUCUGCCGAUUGUCUGAUAUGCUGAGUAUAGAUUGCAGUGGAAUCAAAUUUAUUGAGUUCCUAAUUUUGCUUGAUAGCCAAUUAUGAGAAUGCAUUUCUGUAAUUUUCAGUGGUCAUGAAUGCAAUGUACACACAUUGCAGAAAUCUGUUUUUCGACAAAUGUCUAUUUUGCAGAAAUGUGCUGCUGUUAUGAUGUGGAAGGGCUUCAGGUGGCAAAUGAGACAACCCAGGCUUCAAAAGUUUUGUUGAUACUUAAAGCCUUUUUGAUUCGUUUUUUCAAGAUUACUAGUAAAGAGAACAUGAUCCUGAUGCUGUCUUUUAUAUGGCCAAAUUCAGCUACUCUUCCCUUUGUGUUACUGAAGAUUUGAAGACAAAGACAGGAGUGAGUAGAAACAGGUUAUGCUGUCUGCUUACAGAAUCUGAAUGUAAACCAAUUGAAGCUACUCAAGUCAAUGCAACCAGCAUCAAUCCAAGUUUUUGAGAUUAAAGAUGAAGUCCCAAAUUCAACAAUAGCCAGCAAGAUAAAAAUAAUGGAUCUCUAUGAGGAUACGAGAUUCAGAAAACAAGCCAGUUAAUAGAAGAUGCCGUAUUGUAGACAGACUCACUCCAUCUCUGUCAGUAGAAUUUCUUCAUAUACAACAUGACAAGGCAGGUGGAGAUUGUUUGUCUGAUCUCAGAGCUGCAUCCAAUACUCUGUACAUAUAUAUAUAUAUAUAUAUAUAUAUAUACAUAUAUAUACAUAUAUAUAUAUAUAUACAUAUAUAUUUAUAUACAUAUAUAUAUAUAUAUAUAUUUAUUUAUUUAUUUAUUGGGUGCUAAACCACGAAACCAUGUGUAGGUUUUUAAUUUUCUUGAAAUAGAAAGCUGCUUCAAUUAUCGUUUUUAUCCAUAUGGGUGUCAUUGUACAUGGAUUGGCAGCUUGUCUGCCGAUUGUCUGAUAUGCUGAGUAUAGAUUACAGUGGAAUCAAAUUUAUUGAGUUCCUCAUUUUGCUUGAUAGCCAAUUAUGAGAAUGCAUUUCUGUAAUUUUCAGUGGUCAUGAAUGCAAUGUACACACAUUGCAGAAAUCUGUUUUUCGACAAAUGUCUAUUUUGCAGAAAUGUGCUGCUGUUAUGAUGUGGAAGGUCUUCAGGUGGCAAAUGAGACAACCCAGGCUUCAAAAGUUUUGUUGAUACUUAAAGCCUUUUUGAUUCGUUUUUUCAAGAUUACUAGUAAAGAGAACAUGAUCCUGAUGCUGUCUUUUAUUUGGCCAAAUGCAGCUACUCUUCCCUUUGUGUUACUGAAGAUUUGAAGACAGAGACAGGAGUGAGUAGAAACAGGUUAUGCUGUCUGCUUACAGAAUCUGAAUGUAAACCAAUUGAAGCUACUCAAGUCAAUGCAACCAGCAUCAAUCCAAGUUUUUGAGAUUAAAGAUGAAGUCCCAAAUUCAACAAUAGCCAGCAAGAUACAAAUAAUGGAUCUCUAUGAGGAUACGAGAUUCAGAGAACAAGCCAGUUAAUAGAAGAUGCCGUAUUGUAGACAGACUCACUCCAUCUCUGUCAGUAGAAUUUCUUCAUAUACAACAUGUCAAGGCAGGUGGAGAUUGUUUGUCUGAUCUCACAGAAUGCUGCA